GGCUCCUUUGGAGUCCGCGUUGUAAUUUGUAGAGGAUGAUUCGGCAAGGGCUCCCGCCUAAGUCUCCUGGAACGGAGCGUCAUAGAGGGUGAGAAUCCCGUAUGCGGUGGGCUGCCUAAGCCAUGUGAAUCUCCUUCGACGAGUCGAGUUGUUUGGGAAUGCAGCUCUAAAUGGGAGGUAAAUUUCUUCUAAAGCUAAAUACCGGCCAGAGACCGAUAGCGCACAAGUAGAGUGAUCGAAAGAUGAAAAGCACUUUGGAAAGAGAGUUAAAAAGUACGUGAAAUUGUUGAAAGGGAAGCGCUUGCAGCCAGACUUGUCCGCAGUUGCUCAGCCGGUCUCCUGACCGGUGUACUCUUCUGCGGCCAGGCCAGCAUCAGUUCGGGCGGUCGGACAAAGACCUCGGGAAUGUAGCUCCUCUCGGGGAGUGUUAUAGCCCGGGGUGGAAUGCGGCCAGCCUGGACUGAGGAUCUCGCUUCGGCUAGGAUGCUGGCGUAAUGGCUGUAAGCGGCCCGUCUUGAAACACGGACC
rnacentral:rRNA from 1 species